rnacentral:tRNA from 1 species
UCGGUGGUUCAGUGGUAAAGUGCUCGCCUGCCACGCGGGCGGCCCGGGUUCGAUUCCCGGCCGAAUAA